AGAGUUUGAUCCUGGCUCAGGAUGAACGCUGGCGGCGUGCUUAACACAUGCAAGUCGAACGAAGCACUUUAUUUGAUUUCCUUCGGGACUGAUUAUUUUGUGACUGAGUGGCGGACGGGUGAGUAACGCGUGGGUAACCUGCCUUGUACAGGGGGAUAACAGUUGGAAACGGCUGCUAAUACCGCAUAAGCGCACGGCAUCGCAUGAUGCAGUGUGAAAAACUCCGGUGGUAUAAGAUGGACCCGCGUUGGAUUAGCUAGUUGGUGAGGUAACGGCCCACCAAGGCGACGAUCCAUAGCCGACCUGAGAGGGUGACCGGCCACAUUGGGACUGAGACACGGCCCAAACUCCUACGGGAGGCAGCAGUGGGGAAUAUUGCACAAUGGGGGAAACCCUGAUGCAGCGACGCCGCGUGAGCGAAGAAGUAUUUCGGUAUGUAAAGCUCUAUCAGCAGGGAAGAUAAUGACGGUACCUGACUAAGAAGCACCGGCUAAAUACGUGCCAGCAGCCGCGGUAAUACGUAUGGUGCAAGCGUUAUCCGGAUUUACUGGGUGUAAAGGGAGCGCAGGCGGUGCGGCAAGUCUGAUGUGAAAGCCCGGGGCUCAACCCCGGUACUGCAUUGGAAACUGUCGUACUAGAGUGUCGGAGGGGUAAGCGGAAUUCCUAGUGUAGCGGUGAAAUGCGUAGAUAUUAGGAGGAACACCAGUGGCGAAGGCGGCUUACUGGACGAUAACUGACGCUGAGGCUCGAAAGCGUGGGGAGCAAACAGGAUUAGAUACCCUGGUAGUCCACGCC
rnacentral:rRNA from 1 species